UCACAGGAGAGAUGAUACUGGU
rnacentral:miRNA from 1 species